rnacentral:piRNA from 1 species
UGAAAAGACUGAGAGAUGAUCUACAUGUGU